rnacentral:rRNA from 1 species
UACGUAGGGUGCAAGCGUUAAUCGGAAUUACUGGGCGUAAAGCGUGCGUAGACGGCUAUCUAAGUCGGGUGUGAAAGCCCCGGGCUCAACCUGGGAAUUGCAUUCGAGACUGAAUAGCUAGGGUACGGUAGAGGGAAGCGGAAUUUCCGGUGUAGCGGUGAAAUGCGUAGAUAUCGGAAGGAACAUCAGUGGCGAAAGCGGCUUCCUGGACCAGUACCGACGUUCAGGCACGAAAGCGUGGGGAGCAAACAGG